UACGUAGGGUGCAAGCGUUGUCCGGAAUUAUUGGGCGUAAAGAGCUCGUAGGCGGCCAGGUAGGUCUGCUGUGAAAACUCGAGGCUUAACCUCGAGAUGUCGGCGGAAACCAUCUGGCUAGAGUCCGGAAGAGGAGAGCGGAAUUCCUGGUGUAGCGGUGAAAUGCGUAGAUAUCGUAAGGAAGACCAGUGGCGAAGGCGGGUCUCUGGACAGUUCCUGACGCUGAGGCACGAAGGCCAGGGGAGCAAACGGG
rnacentral:rRNA from 1 species